GCUACUUUAAAAAAAAAAAAAGAAAUUUUCGGCUGAGUACAAAAAGAGAACUGCAGACAUCCCAUUAUAGGUGAAUUAAUAUAUGCGAUGUCUGAACGAGUAUGGCACACAAUCGCGCUAAAGUUUAAUCAAGACGCCGCGUCUAAGGGCCUUGUCAGUUUCCGCUUCCGGCGCGCGAGACCCGUUUAAAGCGACCACACGCGCAUACUUCCACCCUCAUUUCGCUCCGGUAUCUGCUUUGGCAGCCUCGACUGCGAUGGAUGCGACUGCAGACCAAGGCUGCCCAGUGAUGCUCUUGUUGGUCCUAAUAAAUUCUGAUAUUUCAUGA
rnacentral:lncRNA from 1 species